rnacentral:rRNA from 1 species
UACGAAGGGGGCUAGCGUUGCUCGGAAUCACUGGGCGUAAAGCGCACGUAGGCGGCUUCUUAAGUCAGGGGUGAAAUCCUGGAGCUCAACUCCAGAACUGCCUUUGAUACUGAGAGUCUCGAGUCCGGGAGAGGUGAGUGGAACUGCGAGUGUAGAGGUGAAAUUCGUAGAUAUUCGCAAGAACACCAGUGGCGAAGGCGGCUCACUGGCCCGGUACUGACGCUGAGGUGCGAAAGCGUGGG